rnacentral:rRNA from 1 species
GAUGAACGCUGGCGGCGUGCCUAAUACAUGCAAGUCGAGCGAACGGACGAGAAGCUUGCUUCUCUGAUGUUAGCGGCGGACGGGUGAGUAACACGUGGAUAACCUACCUAUAAGACUGGGAUAACUUCGGGAAACCGGAGCUAAUACCGGAUAAUAUUUUGAACCGCAUGGUUCAAAAGUGAAAGACGGUCUUGCUGUCACUUAUAGAUGGAUCCGCGCUGCAUUAGCUAGUUGGUAAGGUAACGGCUUACCAAGGCAACGAUGCAUAGCCGACCUGAGAGGGUGAUCGGCCACACUGGAACUGAGACACGGUCCAGACUCCUACGGGAGGCAGCAGUAGGGAAUCUUCCGCAAUGGGCGAAAGCCUGACGGAGCAACGCCGCGUGAGUGAUGAAGGUCUUCGGAUCGUAAAACUCUGUUAUUAGGGAAGAACAUAUGUGUAAGUAACUGUGCACAUCUUGACGGUACCUAAUCAGAAAGCCACGGCUAACUACGUGCCAGCAGCCGCGGUAAUACGUAGGUGGCAAGCGUUAUCCGGAAUUAUUGGGCGUAAAGCGCGCGUAGGCGGUUUUUUAAGUCUGAUGUGAAAGCCCACGGCUCAACCGUGGAGGGUCAUUGGAAACUGGAAAACUUGAGUGCAGAAGAGGAAAGUGGAAUUCCAUGUGUAGCGGUGAAAUGCGCAGAGAUAUGGAGGAACACCAGUGGCGAAGGCGACUUUCUGGUCUGUAACUGACGCUGAUGUGCGAAAGCGUGGGGAUCAAACAGGAUUAGAUACCCUGGUAGUCCACGCCGUAAACGAUGAGUGCUAAGUGUUAGGGGGUUUCCGCCCCUUAGUGCUGCAGCUAACGCAUUAAGCACUCCGCCUGGGGAGUACGACCGCAAGGUCGAAACUCAAAGGAAUUGACGGGGACCCGCACAAGCGGUGGAGCAUGUGGUUUAAUUCGAAGCAACGCGAAGAACCUUACCAAAUCUUGACAUCCUUUGACAACUCUAGAGAUAGAGCUUUCCCCUUCGGGGGACAAAGUGACAGGUGGUGCAUGGUUGUCGUCAGCUCGUGUCGUGAGAUGUUGGGUUAAGUCCCGCAACGAGCGCAACCCUUAAGCUUAGUUGCCAUCAUUAAGUUGGGCACUCUAAGUUGACUGCCGGUGACAAACCGGAGGAAGGUGGGGAUGACGUCAAAUCAUCAUGCCCCUUAUGAUUUGGGCUACACACGUGCUACAAUGGACAAUACAAAGGGCAGCGAAACCGCGAGGUCAAGCAAAUCCCAUAAAGUUGUUCUCAGUUCGGAUUGUAGUCUGCAACUCGACUACAUGAAGCUGGAAUCGCUAGUAAUCGUAGAUCAGCAUGCUACGGUGAAUACGUUCCCGGGUCU